rnacentral:rRNA from 1 species
UACAGAGGGUGCAAGCGUUAAUCGGAAUUACUGGGCGUAAAGGGCGCGUAGGUGGUCAAUUAAGUUAGGUGUGAAAUCCCUGGGCUUAACCUAGGAAUUGCAUUUAAUACUGAUUGGCUAGAGUAUGGGAGAGGUAAGUGGAAUUUCCAGUGUAGCGGUGAAAUGCGUAGAUAUUGGAAGGAACACCAGUGGCGAAGGCGACUUACUGGACCAUUACUGACACUGAGGCGCGAAAGCGUGGGGAGCGAACAGG